rnacentral:rRNA from 1 species
GUGUCAGCAGCCGCGGUAAUACGUAGGUGGCGAGCGUUGUCCGGAUUUACUGGGCGUAAAGGGAGCGUAGGCGGACUUUUAAGUGAGAUGUGAAAUACCCGGGCUCAACUUGGGUGCUGCAUUUCAAACUGGAAGUCUAGAGUGCAGGAGAGGAGAAUGGAAUUCCUAGUGUAGCGGUGAAAUGCGUAGAGAUUAGGAAGAACACCAGUGGCGAAGGCGAUUCUCUGGACUGUAACUGACGCUGAGGCUCGAAAGCGUGGGGAGCAAACAGGAUUAGAAACCCCGGUAGUCC